AACGGUAAGGNCCCUUCGGGGGUACACGAGUGGCGAACGGGUGAGUAACACGUGAGUAACCUGCCCUUGACUCUGGGAUAACAGCUGGAAACAGCUGCUAAUACCGGAUACGAACCUCUUAGGCAUCUUCGAGGUUGGAAAGUUCCGGCGGUCAAGGAUGGACUCGCGGCCUAUCAGCUUGUUGGUGAGGUAACGGCUCACCAAGGCGACGACGGGUAGCCGGCCUGAGAGGGCGACCGGCCACAUUGGGACUGAGAUACGGCCCAAACUCCUACGGGAGGCAGCAGUGGGGAAUAUUGCACAAUGGGCGAAAGCCUGAUGCAGCAACGCCGCGUGCGGGAAGACGGCCUUCGGGUUGUAAACCGCUUUCAGUAGGGACGAAGCUAACGUGACGGUACCUACAGAAGAAGCACCGGCUAACUACGUGCCAGCAGCCGCGGUGAUACGUAGGGUGCGAGCGUUGUCCGGAAUUAUUGGGCGUAAAGAGCUUGUAGGCGGUUUGUCACGUCGGGAGUGAAAACUCGGGGCUUAACCCCGAGCCUGCUUCCGAUACGGGCUGACUUGAGGAAGGUAGGGGAGAAUGGAAUUCCUGGUGAAGCGGUGGAAUGCGUANAUAUCAGGAGGAACACCAGUGGCGAAGGCGGUUCUCUGGACCUUUCCUGACGCUGAGAAGCGAAAGCGUGGGGAGCAAACAGGCUUAGAUACCCUGGUANUCCACGCCGUAAACGGUGGGUACUANGNGUGGGGAACAUUCCACGUUCUCCGUGCCGCAGCUAACGCAUUAAGUACCCCGCCUGGGGAGUACGGCCGCAANNUAAAACUCAAAGGAAUUGACGGGCCCCGCACAANCGGNGGAGCAUGNNGNUUAAUUCGANGNNNCGCNANAACNUUNCCUGGGNUUNACAUAUACCG
rnacentral:rRNA from 1 species